UACGUAGGGACCGAGCGUUGUCCGGAAUCAUUGGGCGUAAAGAGCGUGUAGGCGGCCACUUAAGUCCUGCGUGAAAUCUUGCGGCUCAACCGCAAGCGGUCGUGGGAAACUGGGUGGCUAGAGUGCGGGAGAGGAGAGUGGAAUUCCUGGUGUAGCGGUGGAAUGCGCAGAUAGUCAGGAGGAACACCAGUGGCGGAAAGGCGGCCUCACUGGCCCGAUACUGACGCUGAGGACGAAAGCGUGGGGAGCAAACAGGAUUAGACGUACCCCGACGUAGUCCAAGCCAGUCUCGUGCCUAC
rnacentral:rRNA from 1 species